GAGGAAUAUUGGUCAAUGGACGGAAGUCUGAACCAGCCAAGUAGCGUGCAGGAUGACGGCCCUAUGGGUUGUAAACUGCUUUUGUAUGGGGAUAAAGUUAGGGACGUGUCCCUAUUUGCAGGUACCAUACGAAUAAGGACCGGCUAAUUCCGUGCCAGCAGCCGCGGUAAUACGGAAGGUCCAGGCGUUAUCCGGAUUUAUUGGGUUUAAAGGGAGCGUAGGCUGGAGAUUAAGUGUGUUGUGAAAUGUAGACGCUCAACGUCUGAAUUGCAGCGCAUACUGGUUUCCUUGAGUACGCACAACGUUGGCGGAAUUCGUCGUGUAGCGGUGAAAUGCUUAGAUAUGACGAAGAACUCCGAUUGCGAAGGCAGCUGACGGGAGCGCAACUGACGCUUAAGCUCGAAGGUGCGGGUAUCGAACAGGAUUAGAUACCCUGGCAGUCCGCACAGUAAACGAUGGAUGCCCGCUGUUGGUACCUGGUAUCAGCGGCUAAGCGAAAGCAUUAAGCAUCCCACCUGGGAAGUACGCCGGCAACGGUG
rnacentral:rRNA from 1 species